CUAGACCUAAUACACAAAAUAUAAUACACACAUAUACGCUGAUACACACGCCUAUACACACAACGAGGAGACGCCUGAUACAUUGAAAAAUUGACCGCAGCUUUUGGACAAAUCCCCCCCCCCCCCCGAUCACCUUUUCCGUCGAGCCCUAACAACCCACUAUGGCCGCUGCUUCUUCUUCAUGAAGAUCGAAUAUACGUCUGCAAAAUGUUUGUGGAUAGUUGUGCAGCUGAGGACCUAGACAAAAAAGAAAUAGCAGCUUCUUCUUCAAAAGAAAUCGGUUGCGCCACAAAAAAGGCCCUGCCCCCUACGUCGUCUUCUCCAAGCAACCUCUCCUUUCUUCUUCGAACUAGCAGCAACCCAGCAGCAACCAUUACUAGCUACAUCGAAGACUACCCUCCUGCACUUAUCCAAACGGCCAUACACACACAUAGUCACACGACGGAGGUGUCGAGGUUCCGUCUGUUGGUUUUCCGGUUCGAGUUCUUGUUUUCGACUAAAGUUUUCCAGUCCUAAUCUCUUCGUGUUCAAGCGUUAUUUUCUCUCAAGAGGUUCAAGUUCGGGGUUGUUUUCCGUUUAAAGUUGUUGUCGGUUUCCGAUUGAGCUUUUGUUUCCGGUCAUGUAAUGAAGUCGAGUUUUCUCAAAUGCAGAGGUCGGUUCUUCUCCUCGCUCAGUUUUAUUUUAUACCGCUAUUCUAUUAUGGUUGAAUGAAAGACUUGUACGGAUCCUAACGUGCUUGUGGUAUCUUAAGGACAAAGUUUUGUUUUCAAUUGAAGUAUGAUUUAUUUGAUCUAAUGCACACCAGUAUUGUUCCAUUUUCA
rnacentral:lncRNA from 1 species